AUACGGAGGAUGCAAGCGUUAUCCGGAUUUAUUGGGUUUAAAGGGUGCGUAGGCGGAUGAUUAAGCGUGAGGUGAAAUGCAACUGCUCAACAGUGGAACUGCCUCGCGAACUGGUUGUCUUGAAUGCUCCUGCCGUGGGAGGAAUGUGUGGUGUAGCGGUGAAAUGCAUAGAGAUCACACAGAACACCGAUUGCGAAGGCAUCUCACGAAGGGGUGAUUGACGCUGAGGCACGAAAGCGUGGGGAUCAAACAGGAUUAGAUACCCUGGUAGUCCACGCAGUAAACGAUGAUGGCUAACCGCUGGGCUUAUCAGUUCAGUGGCCAAGCGAAAGCGAUAAGCCAUCCACCUGGGGAGUACGACCGCAAGGUUGAAACUCAAAGGAAUUGGCGGGG
rnacentral:rRNA from 1 species